CUGUGGUUGUUGGAAAUGGGGUGGUUGUUGUAAAUGAGGUGGUGGUUGUUGGAAUGGUUGUUGUUGGAAAUGGGGUGGUUGUUGCAGCUGGGGUGGUUGUUGCAGCUGUGGUGGUUGUUGGAAAGGGGGUGGUUGUUGCAGCUGUGGUGGUUGUUGGAAAUGGGGUGGUUGUUGCAGUUGUGGUUGUUGUUGGAAAUGGGGUGGUUGUUGCAGCUGUGGUUGUUGUUGGAAAUGGGGUAGUUGUUGCAGCUGUGGUGGUUGU